GCUGCUCCUAGUACGAGAGGACCGGAGUGGACGAACCUCUGGUGUUCGGGUUGUCAUGCCAAUGGCAUUGCCCGGUAGCUAAGUUCGGAAUCGAUAAGCGCUGAAAGCAUCUAAGCGCGAAGCGAGCCCUGAGAUGAGUCUUCCCUGGCACUUUAAGUGUCCUAAAGGGUUGUUCGAGACUAGAACGUUGAUAGGCAGGGUGUGUAAGUGCUGUGAGGCAUUGAGCUAACCUGUACUAAUUGCCCGUGAGGCUUAACCAUACAACACCCAAGGGGUUU
rnacentral:rRNA from 1 species